rnacentral:rRNA from 1 species
GCUCAGUAACACGUGGAUAACCUACCCUUAGGACCGGGAUAACCCUGGGAAACUGGGGAUAAUACUGGAUAGGCAAUUUUUCCUGCAAUGGUUUUUUGUUUAAAUGUUUUUUCGCCUAAGGAUGGGUCUGCAGCCGAUUAGGUAGUUGGUUAGGUAAUGGCUUACCAAGCCGUUGAUCGGUACGGGUUGUGAGAGCAAGAGCCCGGAGAUGGAACCUGAGACAAGGUUCCAGGCCCUACGGGGUGCAGCAGGCGCGAAACCUCCGCAAUGUGAGAAAUCGCGACGGGGGGAUCCCAAGUGCCAUUCUUAACGGGAUGGCUUUUCAUUAGUGUAAAGAGCUUUUGGAAUAAGAGCUGGGCAAGACCGGUGCCAGCCGCCGCGGUAACACCGGCAGCUCUAGUGGUAACAAUUUUUAUUGGGCCUAAAGCGUCCGUAGCCGGUUUAAUAAGUCUCUGGUGAAAUCCUGUAGCUUAACUGUGGGAAUUGCUGGAGAUACUAUUAGACUUGAGAUCGGGAGAGGUUAGAGGUACUCCCAGGGUAGAGGUGAAAUUCUGUAAUCCUGGGAGGACCGCCUGUUGCGAAGGCGUCUAACUGGAACGAUUCUGACGGUGAGGGACGAAAGUUAGGGGCGCGAACCGGAUUAGAUACCCGGGUAGUCCUAACUGUAAACGAUGCGGACUUGGUGUUGGGGUGGCUUUGAGCUGCUCCAGUGCCGAAGGGAAGCUGUUAAGUCCGCCGCCUGGGAAGUACGGUCGCAAGACUGAAACUUAAAGGAAUUGGCGGGGGAGCAC